rnacentral:ncRNA from 1 species
UAAUGAUAGAGGUGCAAAUGCUAUCAGUAUCGUCCGUCUAUGACUUCCGCAAAGUUACGGCUGACGUGAAAGGAGUAUUUGCCGAAGAGUUCCGAGGCGAAAGGAAACUCUGGGAGGACGAAUAAUAUUCGUUCGACUGUCGCAAAUGCGGAGUGCUAUCU